UAGGGAAUUUUCGUCAAUGGGCGCAAGCCUGAACGAGCGAUGCCGCGUGAGUGAAGAAGGCCUUGGUCGUAAAGCUCUGUUGCGGGGGAAAAAAGGACAGCAUCAGGAAAUGGGUGCUGACUGAUGGUGCCCCGCCAGAAAGUCACGGCUAACUACGUGCC
rnacentral:rRNA from 1 species